UGGGGAAUAUUGCACAAUGGGCGCAAGCCUGAUGCAGCAACGCCGCGUGAGGGAAGACGGUUUUCGGAUUGUAAACCUUUGUCUUUGGUGAAGAAGAAAGUGACGGUAGCCAAGGAGGAAGCCACGGCUAACUACGUGCCAGCAGCCGCGGUAAUACGUAGGUGGCAAGCGUUGUCCGGAAUUACUGAGUGUAAAGGGAGCGCAGGCGGGACUGCAAGUUGGAUGUGAAAUACCGGGGCUCAACCCCGGGGCUGCAUCCAAAACUGUAGUUCUUGAGUGAAGUAGAGGUAGGCGGAAUUCCGAGUGUAGCGGUGCAAUGCGUAGAGAUUCGGAGGAACACCAGUGGCGAAGGCGGCCUACUGGGCUUUAACUGACGCUGAGGCUCGAAAGUGUGGGGAGCAAACAGGAUUAGAUACCCUGGUAGUCCACACUGUAAGCGAUGAUAGCUAGGUGUGGGGGGUCUGACCCCUUCCGUGCCGGAGUUAACGCAAUAAGCUAUCCACCUGGGGAGUACGGCCGCAAGGUUG
rnacentral:rRNA from 1 species